rnacentral:rRNA from 1 species
CUACGGAGGAUCCGAGCGUUAUCCGGAUUUAUUGGGUUUAAAGGGUGCGCAGGCGGCCAUUUAAGUCAGCGGUUAAAUCGUGGGGCUCAACCCCAUUCUGCCGUUGAUACUGGGUGGCUUGAUUGCGGUCGAGGUUGGCGGAAUUCGUUGUGUAGCGGUGAAAUGCAUAGAUAUGACGAAGAACACCGAUUGCGUAGGCAGCUGACCAGACCGCAAAUGACGCUCAUGCACAAAAGUGCGGGGAUCGAACAGGAUUAGAUACCCUGGUAGUCCGCACAGUAAACGAUGAAUACUUGUUUUCGGCGAUAUAAUGUCGGAGGCAAAGCGAAAGCGAUAAGUAUUCCACCUGGGGAGUACGCCGGCAACGGUGAAACUCAAAUGAAUUGACGGGG